CCAGGAGCUCGGGUCCGAAAGGCCAGGUGCGAGGCUUCUGCUCCCGGCAGGCACCCUGCAAACAAGUCAAACUAGACCAAACACAAAGGAAAAGGGAAAAAAAGGAGAGGAAGAAGAAACCAGGAGGAAGAUUAGAAGGAAGGAGGACAAGGAAAAGGAGAAAGAGGAGGAGUCACCAAAAUGGUGUAGGGUAAAGCAAGCAGUAUUUCCUGAAAUUUCUUGGAAAUUAAACCAGGUAGAAGAAACCCAUAACUGAAGUUGCCCUCUGCUGUCAAUUUUUUCUGUGGAACCUGAGUAAAACAAGAAUCUAAUUUUUAGAAAGUCACCUAGGCAGCAGAAACCAAU
rnacentral:lncRNA from 9 species